CCUACGGGAGGCUGCAGUGGGGGAUAUUGCACAAUGGGGGGAACCCUGAUGCAGCGACGCCGCGUGGGGGAAGAAGCGCCUCGGCGCGUAAAGCCCUGUCAGCAGGGAAGAAAAUGACGGUACCUGAAGAAGAAGCCCCGGCUAACUACGUGCCAGCAGCCGCGGUAAUACGGAGGAUGCGAGCGUUAUCCGGAUUUAUUGGGUUUAAAGGGUGAGCAGGCGGAUUUUUAAGGCCGCGGUCAAAUCGUGGGGCUCAACCCCAUCCAGACGUUGAAACGGGGGAUCUAGAGUGUGCGAGAGGUAUGCGGAAUGCGUGGUGUAGCGGUGAAAUGCAUAGAUAUCACGCAGAACCCCGAUUGCGAAGGCAGCAUACCGGUGCACAUCUGCCGCUCAGGCACGAAAGCGUGGGUAUCGAACAGGAUUAGAUACCCUUGUAGUC
rnacentral:rRNA from 1 species